rnacentral:rRNA from 1 species
GAUGAACGCUGGCGGCGUGCCUAAUACAUGCAAGUAGAACGCUGAAGCUUGGUGCUUGCACCGAGCGGAUGAGUUGCGAACGGGUGAGUAACGCGUAGGUAACCUGCCUCUUAGCGGGGGAUAACUAUUGGAAACGAUAGCUAAUACCGCAUAAAAGUCGACAUUGCAUGAUGUUGAUUUGAAAGGUGCAAUUGCAUCACUAAGAGAUGGACCUGCGUUGUAUUAGCUAGUUGGUGAGGUAACGGCUCACCAAGGCGACGAUACAUAGCCGACCUGAGAGGGUGAUCGGCCACACUGGGACUGAGACACGGCCCAGACUCCUACGGGAGGCAGCAGUAGGGAAUCUUCGGCAAUGGGGGCAACCCUGACCGAGCAACGCCGCGUGAGUGAAGAAGGUUUUCGGAUCGUAAAGCUCUGUUGUAAGAGAAGAACGAGUGUGAGAGUGGAAAGUUUCACACUGUGACGGUAACUACCAAAAA